CUGCUCAAUGAUAAAAAUUAAAUAGCUGCAGUAUAAAUAACUGUACAAAGGUAGCAUAAUAAUUAGAUUUUUAAUUAAAAUCUAGAAUGAAAGAUUAAAUGAAAAAUAAACUAUCUUAAAAAAUUAAUAUUAAAUUUAAAUUUUAAUUAAAAAAAAUUAAUUAAACUUAAAAGACAAGAAGACCCUAUAGAAUUUUAUAAAUUUAUUAAAUAUAAAUUUAAUACAUUUAUUUAAUUGGGAUAAUUUUAAAAUUUGAUUAAUUUUUUUUUUUCUUCUCCAUCAACAAAUGAAAUAAUUAAACUAAUUAUAUAUAUAUAUAUAUAUCUAUAUUAAAAUAAAUAAAUUACCUUAGGGAUAACAGAAUAAUUUUUUUUAAAAGAACAUAUUAAAAAAAAAGAUUAUUACCUCGAUGUUGAAUUAAGAUAAAAAAUAAAUGAAAAAAUUUAUAAAUUUAAGUCUGUUCGACU
rnacentral:rRNA from 1 species